CUUGAAUAUUCUGCUAUUCUAAAAAAGCACAGAAACAUUGCUUAGAAUUCUGUACUUAAUCGGUUAAACUCUUUAGGCAAAUAAUUUCUGGCACCAGCUCUGUACUGGCCUUUUUGUGGACCACUCAAUACAAUAUGACUGCCAGUGGAUCUGUAUGGAAGCCAGCACUCCCCUUGCCUGUCCGCCAAUCACGUGGCAUCCCAAUCUGGUGGACCACCACCUUGCCCAAUCUGGAUGCUUCUGGCAGAGACACUGGCCACUGCGAUCCCACCUCCUUUUAGAACACAGUACCAGUGAUGUCAUGCAAUAAAUCUUGGUGUUUCUUAGUUUUCU